rnacentral:misc_RNA from 1 species
GUCAAGGUUAGCAGUUAGAGCUUCAAAACAUAUAAUGGGAUUUGUCAUUCUGCAUUAUCGACCCAAAAACUAGAAUCAGAGUCACAAGAUCCCUACUUUAUCACGUGACGUCCACUAUUCAGAUUUCAGUUACUGACUUACUGUUACUUGGUAUUUUUUUUGCAUAUUCCCCUACAGAGGUCAAAAGGUUGCUGCUCUUUUUUCUCAAUAACCCAAUGAAUAUGAAAAGCUUCUACUUACCAAGAAUCUUUCUUAUGGAUCCA